CGGGGGGGACAAGCGUUGUUCGGAAUUACUGGGCGUAAAGGGCUCGUAGGCGGCCAACUAAGUCCGACGUGAAAUCCCCAGGCUUAACCUGGGAACUGCGUCGGAUACUGGAUGGCUUGAAUUCGGGAGAGGGAUGCAGAAUUCCAGGUGUAGCGGUGAAAUGCGUAGAUAUCUGGAGGAAUACCGGUGGCGAAGGCGGCAUCCUGGACCGACAUUGACGCUGAGUGAGCGAAAGCUAGGGGAGCAAACGGGAUUAGAUACCCCGGUAGUCCUAGCCCUAAACGAUGAAUGCUUGGUGUGGCGGGUAUCGAUCCCUGCCGUGCCGAAGCUAACGCAUUAAGCAUUCCGCUGGGGAGUACGGUCGCAAGGCUG
rnacentral:rRNA from 1 species